rnacentral:rRNA from 1 species
GUGGGGAAUUUUGGACAAUGGGGGAAACCCUGAUCCAGCCAUCCCGCGUGUGCGAUGAAGGCCUUCGGGUUGUAAAGCACUUUUGUCCGGGAAGAAAUCUUCCAGGUUAAUACCCUGGGAGGCUGACGGUACCGGAAGAAUAAGCACCGGCUAACUUCGUGCCAGCAGCCGCGGUAAUACGAAGGGUGCAAGCGUUACUCGGAAUUACUGGGCGUAAAGCGUGCGUAGGUGGUUCGUUAAGUCUGCCGUGAAAGCCCCGGGCUCAACCUGGGAAUGGCGGUGGAUACUGGCGGGCUAGAGUGCGGUAGAGGGUGGUGGAAUUCCCGGUGUAGCAGUGAAAUGCGUAGAGAUCGGGAGGAACAUCUGUGGCGAAGGCGGCCACCUGGACCAGCACUGACACUGAGGCACGAAAGCGUGGGGAGCAAACAGGAUUAGAAACCCUUGUAGUCC